rnacentral:rRNA from 1 species
GCCUAACACAUGCAAGUCGAACGGAAACGAUGGGAGCUUGCUCCCAGGCGUCGAGUGGCGGACGGGUGAGUAAUACUUAGGAAUCUGCCCAUUAGUGGGGGACAACUCGAGGAAACUCGAGCUAAUACCGCAUACGCCCUACGGGGGAAAGCGGAGGAUCCUUCGGGACUUCGCGCUAAUGGAUGAGCCUAAGUCGGAUUAGCUUGUUGGUGAGGUAAAGGCUCACCAAGGCGACGAUCCGUAGCUGGUCUGAGAGGACGAUCAGCCACACUGGGACUGAGACACGGCCCAGACUCCUACGGGAGGCAGCAGUGGGGAAUAUUGGACAAUGGGCGCAAGCCUGAUCCAGCAAUGCCGCGUGUGUGAAGAAGGCCUGCGGGUUGUAAAGCACUUUCAGUAGAGAAGAAAAGCCUACGGUUAAUACCCGUGAGUCUUGACGUUACCUACAGAAGAAGCUCCGGCUAACUCCGUGCCAGCAGCCGCGGUAAUACGGAGGGAGCAAGCGUUAAUCGGAAUUACUGGGCGUAAAGCGCGCGUAGGCGGCUUUGUCAGUCGGAUGUGAAAGCCCUGGGCUCAACCUGGGAAUUGCAUUCGAUACUGCAGAGCUAGAGUAUGGUAGAGGGAAGUGGAAUUUCCGGUGUAGCGGUGAAAUGCGUUAGAUAUCGGAAGGAACACCAGUUGGCGAAGGCGACUUCCUGGGCCAAUACUGACGCUGAGGUGCGAAAGCGUGGGGAGCAAA